ensembl:lncRNA
CUGCUCUUGAAAAGCCUUGGACAGGCUUGGGGAAGAGUUCCUGGUGGCUGCUGUCAAGUGUGCUGGUCCUCACGCUUCCAGAGAGCAGGCAUACUCUGAAAUGAUGGGUUUUUUCCCAAAGUGCUUGUCUGUCUUUUAUGUUUGCCUCCUCAAGCAGAAGAACACUCUCUGCAUUAAUACACCACUGCAGCCUUUUCAGAAAUAUUGGCCUGGCCUUUGCCUGUCUAUCUGCAGAGCCCCUCAGCUGACUUGUGGAAAGGAUGAGCCCUGCUCCAUUUCUUUGAUGUCACAGUUGGAUGUUGGACCCUGCUAGCUGAGAAGAUCUUCUAGCCAAGCAAACAUUACCCAUGCUACAGGAUAAAAAAAAAAGGGAGAAAAAAUGUAGCAACUUACACUCCCACUCUAUGAGAUCUGUUUACAGCAAGCGUGGAAGAGCCAGGCUUCAUCUCCAGCUUGUUCCUGCACAUCCAGAUCGUGUUUGUGAGCCCAGAGCAGGUUGCAUUUGGCAUAAAUCAGAUGUCUAAAGCCAAGUAUGGGCACACUGAACCCCUAAACAGACAGAACCUACACUCUCUGACUUCAAGCCCAUGCCCCUCUGAAAAUAUUUCAGUUCUAUGUUCUAGUGCAUGAACUUGGAAGGAGAGAAAUCCUUCCCACAAGCUUGGUUAGCAAAUGAGAUACAUCCCAUAAAGCACUUCAUUUCGUGCAUGUAACAAAAAAUUAAUUAGCUGGUGUCAUUCUCUAUUAAUCUGCAUAUGACCAGUGAGUGAUUUCUACAGAGCCCAGUUGGAUAAUCCCACUGCCAAGGUGCACCCUGCACAACACCUGGUAAAUGAGUCACCAGAAACUGUUGUGGAGGACACUGAUAGCAUAGAAACCAAAUUAAGUAUUUAGGUGCCUGCUACUGGAGGAGUCUCACCAUGCUGAGCCAGGCUGCUCUGUGGCACUGCUUCCAGAGGAACAGACUGGAUCCACACAGCCCCUGUCUUGCCUCUGUCCUGACAAAGGAGAAGCACUGCAGCGAUCACUUGUGCCCUGAGGUUGAUCACAUCUGACUUUCUGCAAUCACACUCAAUGGAUAGAGAUUAUGAGAGUGAAUUCUGGUGCUCUUUGUGUCUCUCCAGUGCUGGGAUGUUGAUGAGCAGAGACAGUUGCACGACUGCUGUCCUUUUCCAUGGUGGAUAUUGGAGAUGGAAGUGUAGAGACAUGGUGGUACGUGCUGCUUUUUGCAGCCCUGUGCUAGGAGGCUUUUGCCCCUGAAGAUCCUCACUGGAUCAGCAGAAAUAAGAAUUGUGUUGGAAGAUGCCUGGACCAGCAGAGUAUUUAUGUGGAUCCAUAGACAUAUAUAUCAGUAUAUUUAUCUGUAUUUCUCCAAGUAGAUGUAAAGAUUGGUGAUUUGCUUUGGGGAGGGAGGGUCAGAGUGCACACCUUACCUCACUGCUCGAGGAACCAGGUCAUACCGUGUUUACUCCAUGAAACAAUCUCUCUUCAGAUCUGUGUCAUACUCUAAAUGCCACCAGAGCCAAACUGCCCCUGGUAACUCACAUCACCCUGGUUCUGCCCUCCCUGAUCUUUUCCCUGUGCAAUCCCUUCACUUACCUAAUGAUACAACACAAACCAUGAUCACACUCCUAACCCUACAACAUUUUUCUGGAAAUCAGUGGGAAAUCAUCACCAUUUAGAAAUGCAAUAAAAACAUAGCAGCCCACA